GACGAACGCUGGCGGCAGGCUUAACACAUGCAAGUCGAACGGUUGUAGCAAUACAGCAGUGGCAGACGGGUGAGUAACACGUGGGAACCUUCCUAGGGGUACGGAACAACUCAGGGAAACUUGAGCUAAUACCGUAUACGUCCGUGAGGAGAAAGAUUUAUCGCCCUUAGACGGGCCCGCGUCGGAUUAGCUAGUUGGUGGGGUAACGGUCUACCCAGGCGACGAUCCGUAGCUGAUCUUAGAGGAUGAGCAGCCACACUGGGACGCAGACACGGCCCAGACUCCGACAGGAGGAGGCAGUGGGGACUCUUGGACACUGGAGGCAAGCAUGAUCCAGCCAUGCCGCGUGAGUGAAGAAGGUCUUCGGAUUGUAAAGCUCUUUUGCCAGGGACGAUAAUGACGGUACCUGGAGAAUAAGCCCCGGCAAGCUUCGUGCCAGCCGCCGCCGUAACAC
rnacentral:rRNA from 1 species